ensembl:lncRNA AABR07054341.2
CUCUUCCCAAACGACUCUAGCUUGUGUCAAGCUGACACAAGACUAGGUAGCAUUGUGACCACGGGGAGGGGGAGGGGAGGACACGCAGCCUCUCUCUCCUACAUCCUGUCCCUCUUCUUCUUCCUCUUCCUCUAUGACCCACUACCCUGCCCUGCCACCUGCCCUACUUCCCCUGGGCCUGCUCCUGUCUCAGGAACUCCUAGAUACUGGGAUCCGGGCACACCUCCUCUGCCAAGUACCCUCCAAGGGGGAGGCGAGCAGACCUUGAUGUUUACCGAGGCCCCUUUGGCUCUGCCGGCUCCCUAAGGUUUUUCUGGGCUCAUGCCAGCUGGGCCGGGCAGGCUCUGGGACGUGGGAAUUCACAGCCCAGUGAGGAGGUGGGUGCUAAUAGGCUAAUCCCAGGAGUCCCAAGUCUUCCGAGUCGCACCACCGGUCUGAGGCAUAGACGGGAGGGAGCAGAAAGAGGUGCGAACAGGCCCGAAAUGGAGCCCUGGGUGGGGCAGGGUCCUGGAAGUUUGCAGGGACUAAUGUCACCCCUGUGGGGGUGAGGGCUAGAAAAAUCAGAAGAACAUUUUAGAAUAGAGAGUCCCUGGAG